UGCUGGGAUGUGAUGGGGAGCGAAAUUUAGUAGCGAAGUAGCUGAUUUCACACUGUCAAGAAAAGUCUCUAUCGAGGUUAAAGGUACCCGUACCGCAAACCGACACAGGUGGGUGAGGAGAGUAUCCUAAGGCCAGCGAGAGAACUGUUGUUAAGGAACUCGGCAAAAUGACCCCGUAACUUAGGGAUAAGGGGUGCCACCAUCAGGUGGCCGCAGAGAAUAGGCCCAAGCGACUGUUUACCAAAAACAUAGGUUUCUGCUAAGUCGCAAGACGAUGUAUAGGAGCUGACGCCUGCCCGGUGCUGGAAGGUUAAGGGGAUCUGUUAGAGCAAUCGAAGCAGUGAACUUAAGCCCCAGUAAACGGCGGCCGUAACUAUAACGGUCAUAAGGUACCGACAUUCCGUGUGGGGUAAGUGCCGACCCGCACGAAAGGCGUAACGAUUUGGGCACUGUCUCAACAACAGACUCGGUGAAAUUGUAAUUCCGGUGAAGAUGCCGGAUACCUGCGACAGGACGGAAAGACCCCAUGGAGCUUUACUGUAG
rnacentral:rRNA from 1 species